UGGCCAGAUCAUAUUGAAACACCAGUUCCUGUACGAUCACCGGAGUUAAGCAACAUCAACCCUGGUCAGUACCUAGAUGGGUGACUGCUUGGGAAUAUCAGGUACUGUAAG